rnacentral:rRNA from 1 species
GACGAACGCUGGCGGCGUGCUUAACACAUGCAAGUCGAACGGAAAGGCCCCAGCUUGCUGGGGUACUCGAGUGGCGAACGGGUGAGUAACACGUGGGUGAUCUGCCCUGCACUCUGGGAUAAGCCUGGGAAACUGGGUCUAAUACCGGAUAGGACCGUGCUUUAGUGUGUGCGGUGGAAAGUUUUUCGGUGCAGGAUGAGCCCGCGGCCUAUCAGCUUGUUGGUGGGGUAAUGGCCUACCAAGGCGGCGACGGGUAGCCGGCCUGAGAGGGUGUACGGCCACAUUGGGACUGAGACACGGCCCAGACUCCUACGGGAGGCAGCAGUGGGGAAUAUUGCACAAUGGGCGCAAGCCUGAUGCAGCAACGCCGCGUGGGGGAUGACGGCCUUCGGGUUGUAAACCCCUUUCGGCAGGGACGAAGCUUUUGUGACGGUACCUGCAUAAGAAGCACCGGCUAACUACGUG